rnacentral:rRNA from 1 species
GACGAACGCUGGCGGCGUGCUUAACACAUGCAAGUCGAACGGAAAGGCCCUGCUUUUGUGGGGUGCUCGAGUGGCGAACGGGUGAGUAACACGUGAGUAACCUGCCCUUGACGUGGGGAUAACUUCAGGAAACUGGGGCUAAUACCGGAUAGGAGCUCCUGCUGCAUGGUGGGGGUUGGAAAGUUUCGGCGGUUUGGGAUGGACUCGCGGCUUAUCAGCUUGUUGGUGGGGUAGUGGCUUACCAAGGCUUUGACGGGUAGCCGGCCUGAGAGGGUGGCCGGCCACCUUGGGCCUGCGGUACGGCCCAGACUCCUACGGGGGGCAGCAGUGGGGAAUCUUGCACAAUGGGCGGGAGCCUGAUGAAGCAACGCCGCGUGCGGGAUGCCGGCCUUCGGGUUGUAAACCGCUUUCGCCUGUGACGAAGCGUGAGUGACGGUACUGGGUAAAGAAGCACCGGCUAACUACGUG